UGAGUCCCGUCCGGGGAGUUGUCCGUACACCCCGGUAGCAUGAGGAAGCGGCGCUGGAGCAAUUCAGGGUCGUGAGUUUCCAAACAGCAAGAGAGCAGGCCGUAACGCAAGUGAACCUACACGUAGCCUCGUAAACGAAUUGGAGAAGCCGAGCCUGUGGUCAGAAGGCGAAGGCCGCUGGAUGUGCGCUGAAACAACGGAAGUGGCGCACAUCAUCUCCCGGGGUAGCAGGGUC
rfam:Betaproteobacteria bacterium RBG_16_56_24 RBG_16_scaffold_30938, whole genome shotgun sequence.